GACGUAGGGGGCGAGCGUUGUCCGGAAUUACUGGGCGUAAAGAGCGUGUAGGCGGGUGAUUAAGUCAGGCGUGAAAGACCGGGGCUCAACUCCGGGGUGGCGCUUGAAACUGGUCAUCUUGAGGGCAGGAGAGGGAAGUGGAAUUCCUGGUGUAGCGGUGAAAUGCGUAGAUAUCAGGAGGAACACCAGUGGCGAAGGCGGCUUCCUGGACUGACCCUGACGCUGAGACGCGAAAGCGUGGGGAG
rnacentral:rRNA from 1 species